rnacentral:rRNA from 1 species
UACGUAGGGUGCGAGCGUUGUCCGGAAUUAUUGGGCGUAAAGAGCUCGUAGGCGGUUUGUCGCGUCUGCCGUGAAAGCCCGGGGCUCAACUCCGGAAUUGCCUUUAAGACUGCAUCGCUAGAAUUGUGGAGAGGUAAGUGGAAUUCCGAGUGUAGAGGUGAAAUUCGUAGAUAUUCGGAAGAACACCAGUGGCGAAGGCGACUUACUGGACACAUAUUGACGCUGAGGUGCGAAAGCGUGGGGAGCAAACAGG